rnacentral:rRNA from 1 species
AUGAACGCUGGCGGCGUGCCUCAUACAUGCACGUCGAGCGAACAGACGAGGAGCUUGCUCCUCUGACGUUAGCGGCGGACGGGUGAGUAACACGUGGAUAACCUACCUAUAAGACUGGGAUAACUUCGGGAAACCGGAGCUAAUACCGGAUAAUAUAUUGAACCGCAUGGUUCAAUAGUGAAAGACGGUUUUGCUGUCACUUAUAGAUGGAUCCGCGCCGCAUUAGCUAGUUGGUAAGGUAACGGCUUACCAAGGCAACGAUGCGUAGCCGACCUGAGAGGGUGAUCGGCCACACUGGAACUGAGACACGGUCCAGACUCCUACGGGAGGCAGCAGUAGGGAACCUUCCGCAAUGGGCGAAAGCCUGACGGAGCAACGCCGCGUGAGUGAUGAAGGUCUUCGGAUCGUAAAACUCUGUUAUUAGGGAAGAACAAAUGUGUAAGUAACUAUGCACGUCUUGACGGUACCUAAUCAGAAAGCCACGGCUAACUACGUG